rnacentral:rRNA from 1 species
AAAUUGAAGAGUUUGAUCAUGGCUCAGAUUGAACGCUGGCGGCAGGCCUAACACAUGCAAGUCGAGCGGUAGCACAGAGAGCUUGCUCUCGGGUGACGAGCGGCGGACGGGUGAGUAAUGUCUGGGAAACUGCCUGAUGGAGGGGGAUAACUACUGGAAACGGUAGCUAAUACCGCAUAACGUCGCAAGACCAAAGUGGGGGACCUUCGGGCCUCAUGCCAUCAGAUGUGCCCAGAUGGGAUUAGCUAGUAGGUGGGGUAAUGGCUCACCUAGGCGACGAUCCCUAGCUGGUCUGAGAGGAUGACCAGCCACACUGGAACUGAGACACGGUCCAGACUCCUACGGGAGGCAGCAGUGGGGAAUAUUGCACAAUGGGCGCAAGCCUGAUGCAGCCAUGCCGCGUGUGUGAAGAAGGCCUUCGGGUUGUAAAGCACUUUCAGCGGGGAGGAAGGCGUUAAGGUUAAUAACCUUGGCGAUUGACGUUACCCGCAGAAGAAGCACCGGCUAACUCCGUGCCAGCAGCCGCGGUAAUACGGAGGGUGCAAGCGUUAAUCGGAAUUACUGGGCGUAAAGCGCACGCAGGCGGUCUGUCAAGUCGGAUGUGAAAUCCCCGGGCUCAACCUGGGAACUGCAUUCGAAACUGGCAGGCUAGAGUCUUGUAGAGGGGGGUAGAAUUCCAGGUGUAGCGGUGAAAUGCGUAGAGAUCUGGAGGAAUACCGGUGGCGAAGGCGGCCCCCUGGACAAAGACUGACGCUCAGGUGCGAAAGCGUGGGGAGCAAACAGGAUUAGAUACCCUGGUAGUCCACGCCGUAAACGAUGUCGAUUUGGAGGUUGUGCCCUUGAGGCGUGGCUUCCGGAGCUAACGCGUUAAAUCGACCGCCUGGGGAGUACGGCCGCAAGGUUAAAACUCAAAUGAAUUGACGGGGGCCCGCACAAGCGGUGGAGCAUGUGGUUUAAUUCGAUGCAACGCGAAGAACCUUACCUGGUCUUGACAUCCACAGAACUUAGCAGAGAUGCUUUGGUGCCUUCGGGAACUGUGAGACAGGUGCUGCAUGGCUGUCGUCAGCUCGUGUUGUGAAAUGUUGGGUUAAGUCCCGCAACGAGCGCAACCCUUAUCCUUUGUUGCCAGCGGUCCGGCCGGGAACUCAAAGGAGACUGCCAGUGAUAAACUGGAGGAAGGUGGGGAUGACGUCAAGUCAUCAUGGCCCUUACGACCAGGGCUACACACGUGCUACAAUGGCAUAUACAAAGAGAAGCGACCUCGCGAGAGCAAGCGGACCUCAUAAAGUAUGUCGUAGUCCGGAUUGGAGUCUGCAACUCGACUCCAUGAAGUCGGAAUCGCUAGUAAUCGUAGAUCAGAAUGCUACGGUGAAUACGUUCCCGGGCCUUGUACACACCGCCCGUCACACCAUGGGAGUGGGUUGCAAAAGAAGUAGGUAGCUUAACCUUCGGGGGGGCGCUUACCACUUUGUGAUUCAUGACUGGGGUGAAGUCGUAACAAGGUAACCGUAGGGGAACCUGCGGUUGGAUCACCUCCUUACCUUAAAGAA